rnacentral:tRNA from 1 species
AGCAGCAUGGCCCAGUGGAUAAAGCACUGGCCUGGGAGCCAGCGGACCCGGGUUCUAAUCCUGGCUCUGCCG